UACGGAGGGUACAAGCGUUAUCCGGAUUCACUGGGUUUAAAGGGUGCGUAGGUGGGUUGGUAAGUCAGUGGUGAAAUCCCCGAGCUUAACUUGGGAACUGCCAUUGAUACUAUCAGUCUUGAAUACCGUGGAGGUCAGUGGAAUAUGUCAUGUAGCGGUGAAAUGCUUAGAUAUGACAUGGAACACCAAUUGCGAAGGCAGCUGGCUACACGAAUAUUGACACUGAGGCACGAAAGCGUGGGGAUCAAACAGG
rnacentral:rRNA from 1 species